ACUCCUACGGGAGGCAGCAGUGGGAAUAUUGCACAAUGGGCGCAAGCCUGAUGCAGCCAUGCCGCGUGUGUGAAGAAGGCCUCGGUUGUGAAAUGCACUUUCAGUCGUGAGGAAGGUAGUGUAGUUAAUAGCUGCAUUAUUUGACGUUAGCGACAGAAGAAGCACCGGCUAACUCCGUGCCAGCAGCCGCGGUAAUACGGAGGGUGCGAGCGUUAAUCGGAAUUACUGGGCGUAAAGCGCAUGCAGGUGGUUUGUUAAGUCAGAUGUGAAAGCCCGGGCUCAAGCCUCGGAAUUGCAUUUGAAACUGGACAGACUAGAGUACUGUAGAGGGGGU
rnacentral:rRNA from 1 species